UACGUAGGGAGGCGAGCGUUUGUCCGGAUUUACUGGGCGUAAAGCGCACGCAGGCGGGUGUGCGCGUAGGGGUGUGAAAUCUGGCCGCUUAACGGCCAGGCGCCAUCCCAUACGGCACGCCUGGAGUGAUGCAGAGGUCGAUGGAAUUGCCGGUGUAGUGGUGAAAUGCCGUAGAGGAUCGGCAGGAACGACCCAGGGGGGAAACCAUCGACUGGGCAUGCUACUGAACGCGUGG
rnacentral:rRNA from 1 species